GUGUGGAUGGCAUAGUGGUUUGAGUGUUCGACUGCAACCUUGGAGACCAGGGUUCAAUUCCCAGCUCAGACA